AUAGACCUGUGCACAUUUAACUGUAUACAUCUAUAUACACACACACAUAUGCCUGCAUGUGCCAGCUGACAAGCCAACCCCUGCAAAUCUAUGUCCUCCCUGUGUCUGAGGUUUCUCCUUGGGGUGGUGAAAGCACUUGCUACAGCCACGUCCAGCAGCACGGCAGGAGUGCAAAUGCCAGAGAAUUGACGCCUAGAUGGCCCACGCUUUGCCAAAAGAGAUGUACACUUUUGGAAACAGAACGGUGAAUGCUAGCGGUGAGAAAGUGUUGUUGUACCCCUUUCUAAAUCCGUGAAAUGUGGUGUGUUUUUCCAUGCGUUAAGCAGUGUUGACACCUAAGGACUACGUGAAUUAACAUUUUAAUUUUCCAGUGACAUCUGAGUAUUACAAAGUAUGCCUAACAUAUGAUGUAAUUGUACCUGUAAGUCAGGUACUCUGACAAUUAAACCCCAAAAGAUUUUGAUCCAGAAGAGGAAGUAUCCUAGAUACACUGUAACAUUCCUGGUCUUUUGACAGCCAGUAACAACUUUUCUGAUUUAGAGUAAAACAGUACCAAAGCUUUCUUGGUUUUUUGAUUGUAGAAAUAAGGAUUCUUUGUUAUUGUACAAUAUCUAGCACAACAGGGCACCAAUCCAUGACUCUGGCCUAGGCACAAUAGUAACAAAAACAAUAUCUAAUAAAUAUAUAAACGUAAGACAUACUUGUGCUGUUGUACGUUCAAAUUCAGGUUCCUCAUGCAAUAAGAUCAACAGAUUACUUUUAUGUGAAAGUUGCAUUUGCUUCAGGGAAAGAUUUUAAAUUAUUUCUGUUUGGUGAU